rnacentral:rRNA from 1 species
CUCAGAACUUAAAUGAAUUGACGGGGCCGCACAAGCGGUGGAGUAUGUGGUUUAAUUCGAUGCAACGCGAAGAACCUUACCUGGUCUUGACAUCCCGGAGACCCUUAGGAAACUAGGGGGUGCUUCCAUCUGGAAGAAUCUGGAGACAGGUGCUGCAUGGCUGUCGUCAGCUCGUGUCGUGAGAUGUUGGGUUAAGUCCCGCAACGAGCGCAACCCUUGCCUUUAGUUGCCAGCAGUUCGGCUGGGCACUCUAAAGGGACUGCCGGUGUUAAACCGGAGGAAGGUGGGGAUGACGUCAAGUCCUCAUGGCCUUUAUGACCAGGGCUACACACGUACUACAAUGGCCGAUACAAAGGGCAGCGACACUGCGAGGUGAAGCCAAUCCCGUAAAAUCGGUCUCAGUCCGGAUUGGAGUCUGCAACUCGACUCCAUGAAGUUGGAAUCGCUAGUAAUCGUGGAUCAGCAUGCCACGGUGAAUACGUUCCCGGGCCUU